CCCCUCUCAGGAUUGCAUCUGGAGAUUUCCAGUACCCUACCAGUUUUGGCUACAGGAGGAAGAGUCAAGCAGAGGCAUACCCAUUCUAUUUCUAGCUUGGGCCAUGGCUAGUGAGUGGAAGGCAAUCUGCUACAAGU
rfam:Ornithorhynchus anatinus chromosome 2, whole genome shotgun sequence.